rnacentral:rRNA from 1 species
UGCCGCGUGCAGGAUGACGGUCCUAUGGAUUGUAAACUGCUUUUGUACGAAAAAAAACACUGCUUCCUGAAGCAGCUUGACGGUAUCGUAAGAAUAAGGAUCGGCUAACUCCGUGCCAGCAGCCGCGGUAAUACGGAGGAUCCCAGCGUUAUCCGGAAUCAUUGGGUUUAAAGGGUCCGUAGGCGGUUUGGUAAGUCAGUGGUGAAAGCCCAUCGCUCAACGGUGGAACGGCCAUUGAUACUGCCUGACUUGAAUUAUUAGGAAGUAACUGGAAUAUGUAGUGUAGCGGUGAAAUGCUUAAAGAUUACAUGGAAUACCAAUUGCGAAGGCAGGUUACUACUAAUGGAUUGACGCUAAUGGACGAAAGCGUGGGUAGCGAACAGGAUUAGAUACCCUGGUAGUCCACGCCGUAAACGAUGGAUACUAACUGUUGGAAGCAAUUUCAGUGGCUAAUCGAAAGUGAUAAGUAUCCCACCUGGGGAGUACGUUCGCAAGAAUGAAACUCAGAGGAAUUGACGGGGGCCCGCACAAGCGGUGGAGCAUGUGGUUUAAUUCUAUGAUACGCGAGGAACCUUACCAAGGCUUAAAUGUAGAUUGACCGUUUUAGAAACAGAA